UUAGUUGCAGCACAUGGGAUCCUUCAGUCAGAGCACUCAGGCUUAGCUGCAUCAUGGCAUGUGGGAUCUUAGUUCCCUGAACCCACAUCCGCUGUAUCGGAGGGCAGAUUCUCAACCACUGGACCACAGGGAAAUCCCAUCUGUUCUUCAUCUUUUUAUCUCUGUAUGAAUGGGAAAGUGUUCUAGCUUUAAAGAGAACAGGCCGUGUGAGGACACAGUGAGAAGGCUGCUGUCUGCAAGCCAGAAAGAGAGGCCUCAACAGGAACCCACCCUUCAGACAACAUGAUCUCAGACUGCCACACUCCAGAGCGGGCUGCUGUGAUCAGGCGCCUCCCGAGAGACUGAAAUGGCUUUGUGUUCGCAUCCCAGGAGUCCAGAACGGUCAGCAGACCAAUCUCACCAAGUCAAGGGCCAGAAGGAGAAAGGGCAUGGCUCCGUGGCCCACACACGGCAUGCAGACCGCCCUGCCCAUGUGGGGUCCCUGCAUUGGAGGUGAAGGAUGGGAGAUGCAGCAGCUUGCCCUUUUCAGGUCGAAUCUGGGAGAGGAACAGGUGUGAAUUUAGCCAAGGUGAGUAGAGAUGAGCAGGUGCAAGAAAAGGAAGGACCGUCACAGGGUGAGGUGUGGGCAGACGCCCACCCUGUCUUAAAGAGGCAGUCACCGGCUCUAGCUCACUUCUGUUGCAUGGGGAGUGCCCACCCAUUAAUGUUUUUAUGGAUUUUGUAUGUUUUUAACGAUGACAAGUUAUUCCAAAUCCACCUGCCGGUCUGGGAGGACCCCGCACGCUGCGCU